GGCUCAGCUUGGUAGAGCACCUGGUUUGGGACCAGGGGGUCGCAGGUUCAAAUCCUGUC
rnacentral:tRNA from 2 species